CACGUAGGCGGUUCGUUAUGUCGGAUGUGAAAGCCCUUGGCUUAACCGAGGAAGUGCAUCCGAAACUGGCGAGCUAGAGUACGAAAGAGGAUCGCGGAAUUCCCGGUGUAGAGGUGAAAUUCGUAGAUAUCGGGAGGAACACCGGUGGCGAAGGCGGCGAUCUGGGUCGAUACUGACGCUGAGGUGCGAAAGCGUGGGGAGCAAACAGGGAUUAGAUACCCUGGUAGUCCACGCCGUAAACGAUGAGUGCUAGAUGUUUCUGGUAUUGACCCCGGAGGCGUCGUAGCUAACGCGUUAAGCACUCCGCCUGGGGAGUACGGCCGCAAGGCUAAA
rnacentral:rRNA from 1 species